CGGGAGAGAGCGAUCCGGAAAUCAAGGCUUGUAAGGAGACUGAAAGAGUUGGAGGUCGCCAGAGAACAGUUAUGUAAAGAUAGAGAGCUGAGUCGGGAACUGAAUUUGUCAGAGUGAGAUGCACUAAAAUCACCCCAGGAAAUGACAGCAGGAAAGAGUGUUGGGCUGAAAGGAAAACAAAUGCAGGCGCCAUAUGCAUUUUUACACUGGUGAACCUAUUGUCUGAUUAGCACCCAAUUUUACUUUUAAAAAAAGUGCAAAAUGCAUGUGAUUUGAAAGCCAGAUCAGCUCACAUUUGCUAAAACUUUUUGGUAACACUUUAUAAUAACAAAGGAAAACAAAUGCAGGCGCCAUAUGCAUUUUUACACUGGUGAACCUAUUGUCUGAUUAGCACCCAAUUUUACUUUUAAAAAAAGUGCAAAAUGCAUGUGAUUUGAAAGCCAG
rnacentral:lncRNA from 1 species